UUCUUAUCAAGAGCAGGCGGAGGGACUAGCCCGAUGAAGCCCGGCAACCGGCGUUAAGCACGGUGCUAAUUCUUGCGGAUCAGAUAACAGUUAUCUGAUCUGGGAGAUGAGAG
rnacentral:ncRNA from 2 species